CACGUAGGGUGCGAGCGUUGUCCGGAAUUAUUGGGCGUAAAGAGCUCGUAGGCGGUGUGUCGCGUCGGCCGUGAAAACCUGCAGCUCAACUGUGGGCUUGCGGUCGAUACGGGCAUCACUGGAGUUCGGCAGGGGAGACUGGAAUUCCUGGUGUAGCGGUGGAAUGCGUAGAGAUCCGGAAGAACACCGGUGGCGAAGGCGGUUGGCUGGGCCGUGGCUGACACUGAUGCGCGACAGCGUGGGGAGCAAACAGG
rnacentral:rRNA from 1 species